UACGUAGGGUGCGAGCGUUGUCCGGAAUUAUUGGGCGUAAAGAGCUUGUAGGCGGUCUGUCGCGUCUGCUGUGAAAAUCCGGGGCUCAACCCCGGACUUGCAGUGGGUACGGGCAGACUAGAGUGUGGUAGGGGAGACUGGAAUUCCUGGUGUAGCGGUGGAAUGCGCAGGAUAUCAGGAGGAACACCGAUGGCGAAGGCAGGUCUCUGGGCCAUUACUGACACUGAGAAGCGAAAGCAUGGGGAGCGAACAGG
rnacentral:rRNA from 1 species